UUCAGUGCUGGCCAUAUAAGUACUCCUAGCUGUGAGCUGCGGGACAAGUGGAAGACAGACAGCAAGGAGGGACAUUUAGGAAAAUGGAGCAAAGAGAUGUGACACCAUGGAGAGUCCAUGGAGGGUCCCACAGCGGGAAAGCCAAGGGCAACCAGAGCGUGGGAGUCCUUGAAUGCCAGGACCUUGGUCUGGCUUCUGAGGAGGAGAGUGACAUGGUCAGAGCUAUGCUGGAAAGGUGGCCACGGUGCAGUUGCUACUACCAGUAGCAGCUGUGCUCUGGGGGCCUAGAGAGUGUCCGUUGGUCUGCUGCCAUGGCUCUAGCCCGGGAUGUUUUGGGAUCAUCCAGUUCUGCCACAGGGGCCUGCCUCUGACUGAGUGUGAGGUUCAACCCUCACCACCCACCCAUCUACCUGUCAACCCUCACAUCUUCCUAUGAAGUGAGCAAGACAAGCAUCAGAUGGUGGCCCAAAGUCUCCCCUCUUGCCUCGGUGGGAUAUCAUGGCAGUGAGGGUGAAGGCUGAGCGAGGGGGCUGCUGGGUGGAGGGGUCUGUCUUCUCCUUCAUCUGUCCCCUUCCAGACGAUCAUGAUGUCCUGUCCUUCCUGACCUUCAGCCUGAGUGAGCCCAGCCCAGAGGUGAUGCCAGCCCUGGCCUACCUGAGAAUGGCAGCCCAGGGACCCUGCCCUCACCCAUGUCAUGGUGCCCUCAGACCUACCAUUCCAGCCCUUACCUCCACCUGGCCUCUGAGCUCUGCUCAGGCCAGACCUUGUGUAGGGCAGUGCUGCGGGCCAGGCCCGGUCUGCGAGUCCUCGCAGGCUGGCUGGCUCAGGCUGUGACAUUACAGUUCAGAGCAAUCAGUGCCAGGUCUCAAAAGGUGCAGGGGGCUGUGGGAGCACAGAGGAGGGGUCCCAACCAGCCAGUGGCUCAAGGAAGGCUGCCUGGAGGAGAUGAGCUUAAAGGAGCCACGGAUCAGCACAUACAGGCUUGAGGCCACAGCAGGGAGAGAAGACGGUAGGGAUCUGCGUGAAGGCAGAACUCAGAGGGCUGGAAACUACAGGGCCAGAUGGCCAGGGAGGAAGGCUGGGCUCAUGGGGAAGCCUGUGGGAAGGCUCCCCUCGCCUCUGGAUCUCCCAUGGGUUUGGGGCCCGACUUUCUGUCUUCCUCCCCUAGGUUCCCCCUCAGCCCUUCCUGGAGAUGGAGCAGCUCCGCCUGGCGAGGCAGCUGGAAGGGCUGCGGGCAAGGCUGGGCUUGGGCACCAGGGAGGAUGUAACUCCAAAGUCAGACUCUGAAGCUCAAGGAGAAGGGGAAAGGCUCUUUGACCUGGAGGAGAUGCUGGGCAGACACAGCCGGAUCCUGCAGGCUCUGUGGGGUCUCUCCGAGCAGCUGGCCCAGGCUGAGAGACAAUGGAAGAAGCAGCUGGGGCCCCCAGGCCAAGCCGGGCCUGAUGGAGGCUGGGCCUUGGACUCUUCCUGCCAGAUUCCAUCCACCCCAGGGAGGGGUGGCCACCUCUCCAUGUCACUCAAUAAGGACUCUGCCAAGGUUGGUGCCCUGCUCCAUGGACAGUGGACUCUGCUGCAGGCCCUGCAAGAGAUGAGGGAUGCAGCUGUCCGCAUGGCUGCAGAAGCCCAGGUCUCCUACCUGCCUGUGGGCACUGAGCAUCAUUUCUUAGAGCUGGGCCACAUCCUGGGCCUCCUGCAGAAGGAGAUUCGGGUCCCGGCGGUGAGGGGGAAGUAGUGGGGAGCAUGGGGUCCCCAACCUUGGCGUCUGGGAUCAGCCACCCUUCUUCCAGCACUUCAGCAGCCCCAAGCCCUCCUGCCUUUGCCCGCCCCUCCCAGGACUGCUGGCAAGCACAUCUGUGCCUGUGUCAGUGUCUGUGUGUGCAUGCAUACGUGCCAGCACACAUCUCAUCUUUUCUCUGUCCUCUGUCCUCUCUGGAGAGUCCCACAGACUCAGCACCAGCAGGGCCCUGGACACCCCUCGAUCCAAUAUCCAAUGACCAGAGGGGAAAUGGGGUGGGCUGUGUCCAAGAUCAUUCAGAGUCCAGUGGUGGAGUCAGUGCUUCCCCAUGCCCUGUCCCAUCCUCGUUCCCUUGCUCUCACCUUGCUCACCCUAUCUUUGGCUUUCUACUUCUCUCUUUCUCUUCUCUUGAGCCCUGGGCCCCUUGAUGAUCCCAGGCCCCAGGCCUUCCCAGCUGUUCCCACAGAUGCAGCCAUGGGAGCUGGGGUGGGGGAGGCAGCUUUGUACACUGCCCCCUCUCCAAGUUCCCUGGAUGAGAGCCAGGACGCCCCAAGCCUGGGGAAAGAAAACGGAGCAUGCACAUGGCCUAGAUUCCAGGUCCCCCCCUCCUUCUGGGUAAGAAGCUAAGCUAGGACCUUAGACUUUCCCCUUUCAGAAGGCAGUGGCCAAGGCCCCCCGCCCACCUGGCCAGCCCCCAAGGGCCUCCUCGUGCCUGCAGCCUGGCAUCUUCCUGUUCUACCUCCUCAUUCAGACUGUAGGCUUCUUUGGCUACGUGCACUUCAGCAGGCAGGAGCUGAACAAGAGCCUUCAGGAGUGUCUCUCCACAGGCAGCCUUCCUCUGUGUCCUGCACCACACACCCCCAGGGCCCCGGGGAUUCUGAGGAGGCAGCCUCUCCCUGCCAGCAUGCCUGCCUGACCCACCUCAGAGCCUGCUUUGCAUCACUGGGAAGCAGGCAGUGUCUUGGGUGGGGGCUUGGUCAGUAUCCUCUCUGUCUGGGUGCCCAGCUCCCACCCACACCUGAGCUUUCGGCAUGCUCCCACCUUAUUAAAGGUAAUUUCCCUCUC
rnacentral:sRNA from 1 species